GAUACUAAGAAAUUGCUUAAUUAUUGGUCCAAUCCCAGAUUACAUUGGUGAAUUGUCUAAUCUCAAAAUUUUGUACUGGAAUUACUUGAGGAAGCACACAUAUGUUCUGGAAUCUAUGGCUUCUUGAAGAUCUUUGUCUUUUUCAAUAGCUUAUUUGUUCGAAAGAGUUCUCAUUGAAGAGAUGGCUUUGUUGCGUGGACUUGUGGAUAAUCCAUAUUGGUGCAUGGAGAAGAAUUUCACUUUUGUGUAGAACCAAUAUAAUACUUUUGUCAUCCUCAGCUUUUGUGUAGUUCAUUAUUACUUUUGUCGUGGUACAUAUAUCACCUUUUGUUGUGGUACAGAUUACGACGGUAAUUUGUACCAUGUCAAAUGAUAAUUUCACUUGGUAGUAAAUGUAUUUUUUUGUAUACGGAGGGUUUUGAUUUUUGUAUGAUAUAUUUUGUAUAGAAUUAUUAUUUUAGUUUGGACAAUAGUUGAUUUGUA